rnacentral:lncRNA from 1 species
GCAAGACAUACAAAUUAUGACCCCACUGUGAACAUGUUAAGAAAACUGCAGCUCUGGACAUAAAGUUACCUAAGGUUACAAUGCUUUCUCUCUUUUUUCAGGAAACUUACUCCAAGAAUUUCUAAGGGUCUUAGAAGUAUAAUAAGACUGUAAAUUAGGCCUGUGUUUUUUACCUGGAAAGUGAGCCUGUGUUUCCCCGCAUACUACAGAUUCACAAAUGCUAAAGACUGCCAUCUUCAAGGAAUCAGCUACAGAGGAAAUAUACACGGGAGAUCUUGGAGAUGCACAUUAUUUUAGGACAUCAUGCAUCACUCAGUGUAUAGCCCCAAAAUGUCACCAUAGCGUAUAUUUUACAAAACUGGAACUGUCUCAAAACAGAAAUUUUUUUCUUUAAUCAAUGUUGAUUUUUCUAAUUCAGGGCCUGUCCUCAGUGUACAUUAAAGAGUGUAAAGACAUGGUCUCAAAUUUGACUUGUUUGAAACAAUGAGAGAAAAUGAACAAAGAUUCUAUCUGGCAAUCUGUAGCUCUUCUCUUUCCCCUUCUAACUCUUUUAUCAGUUUAAUUCUGUAACGUUAGACUAACUAUAGAGUGCUAUAAAAAUUGUUAUGAUUUAUGAAUUGGUACAGCCAAGGAAGCAUUCUGACUACUUUACUUGUAAUUUAAACUACAAAAAAAUGAACUAUUACAUUCCAAAUGACCAAUGCAUCUAGAAGUGCACUUUGACUUAAUGCAAUUGUUUUAUGUGUCACAUAAGUUCGUUUCUGGGUUUUUUGAUUUUUUUUUUUUUUUGGUCUUUCUUCUAAGUGUUUUUUGUAAUAACUGGCUAAAGUGUCUACACUGCUCCAUUUACUACAUUGUUUUAAAACUCAACUGAUUUUGGUUUUUUCCUUUUAAAAAUAUUUAUAGACAGCUGGCUUAAUGCUUCGAUUUCUUACUAAACAAAACAAAAACAAUUAUACAGAUAUUCAAGAGCUAACAAAUCUGCUUGGGAUUAAGAAAACAAGAAAAUUCAACAGAGGUCUCUUUAAAACCUAGUCACUGUUACAGGAUUAUUGGAUUCCACUUGCAAAUAAAAUCUAUAAAAUUUGGUAAUAUCAGGGUUAUAUACAUAUGAUAUUGGUUAAUGUACAGAUUGUUCUGUUUACUAACCUUUAAAAAAUUAUUUAAAAAAUGAGAAAAGGAAAGAAUGGAAACAAAGCUUUUGUAAAUAGAGAGGGAAAGAGGCAUUGGGGGGGGGAAGCAAGAUAUAUCACGCACAGGUACAAAUUCCCUAUGUUGAAUGUGAUCAUUACAUAUACAUAAUAUGUAUCAAUAAAUUUAAAAAUAAACAGAUUCUGCUAAAAUCCCAAAAAUUCACUUUAAAUUGGCUUACAGAUAAUUAACCCAAAUGCCUUCUAUUCACAUGACCUAAAUAAAUCUUUAGCAAACAAAUUAAAUUAAAUUGGUUGAUAAAAGUAAAUAUUAUCUUUAAAACUGUUAACACAGCCAAUUGUGAUGGCACCUGUUUGUAAUCCCAGCAUUUGGGAAGCAGAGGCAGACUGCCUCAAGCUUAAGGCCAGUCUGGGUUGCAUAGUGAGUUCAAGGCCAGUCUGAAAUACACAGCGAGACACUGUCGCUAAAAGAAAAAGAAAAUGAAAGAAAGAAAGAAAAGAAUACUCUUAGUUU